AUACAGAGGGUGCAAGCGUUAAUCGGAAUUACUGGGCGUAAAGCGCGCGUAGGCGGUUUGUUAAGUUGGAUGUGAAAGCCCCGGGCUUAACCUGGGAGGGUCAUUCAAAACUGGCAGACUAGAGUGUGAUAGAGGGUAGUGGAAUUCCUAGUGUAGCGGUGAAAUGCGUAGAGAUUAGGAGGAACACCAGUGGCGAAGGCGACUGCCUGGACCAACACUGACGCUGAGGUGCGAAAGCGUGGGUAGCAAACGGAAUUAGAUACCCCAGUAGUCC
rnacentral:rRNA from 1 species